GUACUCACUUUAGCAGCACAUGUACUAAAAUUGUAAUGAUACAGAGAAGAUUAGCAUGUCCCCUGCACAAGGAUGACAUGCAAAUUCGUGAAGCAUUCCAUAUUUUU
rnacentral:snRNA from 1 species